GAAAUAACGUCCCAGUUCGGAUUGUAGUCUGCAACCGACUACAUGAAGCUGGAAUCGCUAGUAAUCGCGAAUCAGAAUGUCGCGGUGAAUACGUUCCCGGGUCUUGUACACACCGCCCGUCACACCAUGGGAGUCGGAAAUGCCCGAAGUCAGUGACCCAACCGCAAGGAGGGAGCUGCCGAAGGUGGAGCCGGUAACUGGGGUGAAGUCGUAACAAGGUAUC
rnacentral:rRNA from 1 species